AAUCCCUUGUGCUCAAUAAAACCAAGAGGCUGCGGCGGCGGGCGGAGGCUCGUGCCGUCGACGUCCUGGCCCGGCGCGGCGCUCGCGCCCGCACCAUGGCGGCGCGUAGUAUAUGAGCAAUUGCACAGCACAAGUAACCAAGCGCACUGCAUCAGCCCAGCCGGGCAGAGGAGAGGAAGAGGGGGAAGCCGGGAAGAAGCUUUACCUCGAAGCAGACGAGCUUGUGGUGCUGCCGUGCCCGUGACGGAUCAGAGGAGUCGAUGUCGAUUCGGCAGCGGGCAAGGCGCGAUCGACCGGCGACGGGCUCGAUUGGUGGCAGGGGAGGUGAGAGAGUGAUCCCCUUGGAUGUGACCGCGAUAUUCAUCGAGAGAAGGCCAGAGUCUCCCUCACUGUCAUCUCACCGACAUGAAGAUCAUGCUGCCCGAUGUAUGCUGAGGUCCUCUGGGGGACAAACUCAUCCAUGUCAUGCCCAUUGCUUGAGUCCAGCUUCCCUGCCAAAGCUAGGAGGAGGCUAGUUUUUCCAGAACCAGGGGGCCCAAGCAACAAAGACAUUCUGGAGAAACUCCACAUGGUCAAAAACUGCAACCUCCAGAGAAGGCAACAAAAACGAGAUGAUUUGAAACAAACUGUCAUUGAUUCCUCACCUGCCGGGUCUUACAACUCCGCUAAUGUCAUGGAUGAUAGAGAUGGGCCUCUUCCCGUUUGAAACAAUGCGCAGGGCACUCAAAAAACCCUGAAUAACCCAAGCUAGAAUCAGAAGCAGCAUAGCUGAAACCACUCAACAUGCAUAUGUACUGAACUUUUAGGCCAUUCCAAGAAGCAUCAAGAGCUGGUCCUACUGAGAAUGCACAUACCAUGAUUUUGUUGGAGAAGUAGUUGGUGAACGUGGGGAUCCCCCGGUUGCCGACGUA